CCUACGGGAGGCAGCAGUGAGGAAUAUUGGUCAAUGGGCGCGAGCCUGAACCAGCCAAGUCGCGUGAAGGAUGACUGCCCUACGGGUUGUAAACUUCUUUUAUAAAGGAAUAAAGUGAGGCACGUGUGCAUUUUUCUAUGUACUUUAUUAAUAAGGAUCGGCUAACUCCGUGCCAGUAGCCGCGGUAAUACGGAGGAUCCGAGCGUUAUCCGGAUUUAUUGGGUUUAAAGGGAGCGUAGAUGGGUUGUUAAGUCAGGUGUGAAAGCUCGCGGCUCAACCGGGAAAUUGCAAUUGAUACUGGCAGUCUUGAGUACAGUUGAGGUAGGCGGAAUUCGUGGUGUAGCGGUGAAAUGCUUAGAUAUCACGAAGAACUCCGAUUGCGAAGGCAGCUUACUAAACUGCCACUGACAUUGAUGCUCGAAAGUGUGGGUAUCAAACAGGAUUAGAUACCCUGGUAGUC
rnacentral:rRNA from 1 species